UACGAGAGGCCCAAACGUUAUUCGGAAUUACUGGGCUUAAAGAGUUCGUAGGCGGCAUGAAAAGCAGGGUGUGAAAGCCCUCGGCUCAACCGAGGAAUUGCGCUCUGAACUGUCGUGCUUGAGGAACCUAGAGGUGAGCAGAACAGAUGGUGGAGCGGUGAAAUGCGUUGAUAUCAUCUGGAAUACCGGAGGCGAAGGCGGCUCACUGGGGGUUUUCUGACGCUGAGGAACGAAGGCCAGGGUAGCGAACGGG
rnacentral:rRNA from 1 species